rnacentral:sRNA from 2 species
AUAUCUCUCUGUACGGGAAGGAUGAGAAGCUUCGACCAAGGUUCGAUUCGAGCGCAGCGAGAAAGCGUUGCCGCAGGCAACGACCCGAAGGGCGAAGC